CCCACUGAAAAAUAUGAUUGCUGGGCCCAUCGAUACAAAAGCACUUCCCAUGAAGCACCAACUAACAACACGACCAAUGGCCAACAGAAAACCAUAUUAAUCUGUAGGCGGUACACGUGUUGCACAAAACAUGAGCAAGUCUUCGCACAGAAUAUGAAAGGCGGAAUCCGCUUCUGAUCCCGGAGAUCAAAGCGGGCCAGACCCAGAUGGCCCCACAAUGGCGUGUACUUGGUCGCGCCGACCCCAAACUCCACGACGCACCCGGUGUGCAUCCAAAGUCCACCAUGCGGCGUAGCGUACCUGCGUGCAUCCCGUGCAACCCUUUCUCAUCCCGCACCCGCAAAUACCGCUAUCUCUUUCUCGCUUCCCCACCCUUCGCUGCCCCCAUCCCCUCCCUCCGCGACAACACCAAACUUGCACAACUCCUUCAACCGCAAUCAAUCAAAGUCCAAGUCCUCGACACGUUUCAGGAGGAAGAAGCCACGUGUAGAAGAGGAGUUGGUGUACGAUGCUGUGGGGACUGGAGUUAGAGGCUCGCAGUGAGCGGGCCCGUGCCACCGUCCAGGAAAUGGAACGCGGUUGGUUUGGUUCGGCCGUCGUGCUCCCGCACCACGACACGACGACGCUGUCCUCCACGUGGUCGUCAGCCACAGCAGGCCCCCCGAGGCACAGCAGCACUCACUGCUCGACACGAACCCUUACCCAAUUCCACUACCUCUAUACUAUCAUCAGCCCCCUGCUCCGAGUCCCUUGCCUCCUCGCCUGAUUCCAUACGCUUUAUCUGACGACUGACGAUGGAAAGACACGGAGAGAGGGGAUGGGAAGAGGGA
rnacentral:lncRNA from 1 species